rnacentral:rRNA from 1 species
AAGUCGUAACAAGGUAACCGUAGGUGAACCUGCGGUUGGAUCAUUAACAAAUCCAACUGGGCUUCAAAGCCUGUGGCCUUUCUUGGGCUGCAGCGCUUUAGCCCGACACACACCUUUGUGAACUAUUGAACGUAUUUUGGUGAAGCCUCCGUGGCUGGCUUUGGCCAGCUGUGGUGGGGUGCGAAAGCGCUCGCUCGCUUCACCGACCAACACCUGUUUUCAAUAUUUGUUGUGCAUCAAUAAAGAGAAAUCAAUGAGAAACAACUUUAGACAACGGAUCUCUUGGCUCUCGCAACGAUGAAGAACGCAGCGAAAUGCGAUACGUAGUGUGAAUUGCAGAAUCCAGUGAAUCAUCGAAUCUUUGAACGCAAAUUGCGCCCUUUGGUAUUCCGAGGGGCAUGCCUGUUUGAGAACCUUGACGUACCUCAACCCCCAACAUGUUGGUCUUAGCCGCAUGGUGGGAGCGUUGGAUUUGGAUCCUCCCUCGACUCCUUGCGAGACGCGGGUGAUCUUAAAUUGAGCUUCAGGCGGAAGUUUAGGCCUUGGCACAAGACGUGAUAAUAUGGGACGCAAAUCCUGUUUCUGCGUUGAUACACCAGGCCUGACGUGAGAUGCUUUUCGGCAUCUCUGCCGACUGAUCCACCGUCGCCAGGCGUUGGCACUCGUUGCUGACGUACACCUGAACACCUGGUCUCAAAUCAGACAAGACUACCCGCUGAACUUAA